UACGUAGGGGGCUAGCGUUGUCCGGAUUUAUUGGGCGUAAAGAGCGUGUAGGCGGUUUGGUAGGUCCGUUGUGAAAACUCGAGGCUCAACCUCGAGACGCCGAUGGAAACCAUCAGACUAGAGUCCGGAAGAGGAGAGUGGAAUUCCUGGUGUAGCGGUGAAAUGCGCAGAUAUCAGGAAGACACCCGUGGCUAAGGCGGCUCUCUAGUACGGUACUGACGCUGAGACGCGAAAGCGUGGGGAGCGAACAGG
rnacentral:rRNA from 1 species